UCGCCUGUUUAUCAAAAACAUAACUAUAGGUAGGUAUCCAUAGCGAUUUCUGCUCCAUGUGGAAAUAAAUAGCCGCAGUACCCUGACUGUGCUAAGGUAGCAUAAUCAAUAGGCUUAUAAUUUAAGUCUGGUAUGAAGGAAGAUUUGGGGGUUUCCUGUCUCACCUGAAGUAGAUGGAAUUUUUUUAAAAAGUGCAAAAACUUUUACAUAAUCAUUAGACGAGAAGACCCUAGAAAUUUUUUAACUUAUUUUGUUGGGGCGACAAAGUAACAAUUAACUUACUUAUAUUUAUCUGAAGUGGAUACACAGAAUGUAAAAAUUACUCUAGGGAUAACAGCAUAAUUUCUGCGAAGUUUGUGACCUCGAUGUUGGACUAGGUAUUAUUAAGUUUAGAAGAUUUAAGUUUGGCUCGU
rnacentral:rRNA from 1 species